GCCAGGACUCCCUAAAUCCUUUCUGUCUGAAUAGCAGAGGGGAGUUUUGGCUGAAAGCUGUUUAAAAGAUAAAUUAAUUUUCUAACUCAUUAGUUUAUUUAAUCCAUAAUUCCUAUCAUGUAAAUUUAUUUUGUUAUAUAGAAUAGGUAAGAUAUUUGCCUGGUUCAGAAUUCAGUAAAAGGAUCUCCUAACCCAGUCCCAAUUGUCUGAUUUCCCUCCCUAGAGGGAAGUAACAGACCAGUUUCUUAUGCCUCCUUUCAGAGAUAUGUUGGCUGUAUGCACAGAUGGGGAACCUACAGAUACUUAGGGCCGACUGUACUUCUUGUAGGCCCAGGAACUAUUACCCAUUUUAUUUCUCUGAUGACUUACUAUUGGUCUUUCUUGCUGUACUGUGAGAUCCAUGAAGGCAGGGACCAUGUCUGUUUUUCUCUCCGUUGUAUCUCCGAAGCCCAGCACUGUGCCCGGUCCCUAGUAGGCACGCUGUAAUAAUUGUUUGAGUUUGUUCAGUAAGAUCGAGGACUCUUGAUUAAGAGUUCAGUAUGUGCAGGCACUGUUCUAGGCACUGGAGAUACAUCAGUGCAUAAAACAGACAAAAUUCCUGCUCGCUCCAGCUUGACAUUCUGAUAGUUGUUGGGGGAAGGAAUAUACAGUUAAUAAAUAAAUAAAAAUGAGCAAA